CCCUUAGAUGUUCUGGGCUGCACGCGCGCUACACUGAUGCGCUCAACGAGUUUUAACCUUGCCUGGAAAGGUUGGGUAAUCUUUUUAAAACGCAUCGUGAUGGGGAUAGAUUAUUGCAAUUAUUAAUCUUCAACGAGGAAUGCCUAGUAGGCGCAAGUCAUCAGCUUGCGUCGAUUACGCCCCUGCCCUUUGUACACACCGCCCGUCGCUCCUACCGAUUGGGUGUGCUGGUGAAAUGUUCGGAUCGGCCGUUUGUCGCGGUUUCCGCGUCAUGUGGCUGAGAAGUUCAUUAAACCCUCCCACCUAGAGGAAGGAGAAGUCGUAACA
rnacentral:rRNA from 1 species